rnacentral:rRNA from 1 species
UACAGAGGUCUCAAGCGUUGUUCGGAUUCAUUGGGCGUAAAGGGUGCGUAGGUGGCGCUGUAAGUCGGGUGUGAAAUUUCGGAGCUUAACUCCGAAACUGCAUUCGAUACUGCGGUGCUUGAGGACUGGAGAGGAGACUGGAAUUUACGGUGUAGCGGUGAAAUGCGUAGAUAUCGUAAGGAAGACCAGUGGCGAAGGCGGGUCUCUGGACAGUUCCUGACGCUGAGGCACGAAGGUCAGGGGGAGCAAACGGG